GAUAAGGCCCGCAACUACAGCUUUAAAAGUACUCGUAUAAUUGUUUGUCUUUAUUUCUGCAGCUUCUCUCUCCUGAUCUCCUCCAGUAUCACUCUCUCUCUCCUCUGUCGUUCUUCUUCAUCUUCUCUUAGGGUUUGAUUAGUCUGAUUUUAUGGCCUUGAAUCCCAUCAAUUUUUCAAUCUCUUUCUCUAUAAUAUGCUGCUUUCGAUUCUAUAUUCGUUCAAGACAUGCUGAUUUGUUGCUUUUUUUGGCGAACUGAUUUUUUUCGUUGAGUUGGGCGGAACUGAAUUGAUUCAGCAUUCAGAAUUGAUUCGGAUUUGGUGGUUUUUAAUUCUUGUGAAUCAAUCGUUGAAUUUUGUGUUGAUAUUCAAAAUUGCGAUGAUAUUUUUGGCUCAUUAUUGUUGUUGUUGUUCUUAGUCUAGGGUUUCGCGAUUUCAUCGUUUUGCGGCUACCUACGGUCCCAAAAUUGCUGCACAGCAUGUCCCUUGCUCAGAUCUUGAUAUUUGGUGUGUUCUUAACGCUAUUUCGAACAAUUCUCGUAUGCGGUCUCAGGUAAUUGAUUUGUGAGACUGAUAUAUGAUUUUUUUUUUAGUAUGCGAAUUGGUAAGUUGUUAGGGUUCUUCAAUUUUUUGUGGGUUUUUUUUUUCAAUUUAUUGUGGGUUUUAAUUUUGAUAAUUUAUUUCCGUGAUUAUGCUUCAUUGAGUGUUGGCAGAUCCAGUGCCCCAGCGGUGUAAAUUUUUAAGUACCUUGGCUUCUUUAUCUACAAUGUUCCUAGUUUCCUAAUAGGCUCCUACCAUGUGCGUGACGAAGAGCUUUCAUCUUUCUCUCCCAGAAAUUAUACUUCUGUUAGUGUCUCGCCAUAAAGACGAAUGUUUGAGGGUCAUUUGUUGGUAAAUUAACGAGAUUUGGGCCUAGCUCAGGGUUGUGUACAAUGCGCCGCUAAUCUAAGAACAAAUGAAAAAUCUCAACUCCAUGUUAGGAUUGAUGAAGCUACGUGUAGACACUAAGGUCAUUAAAUGAGAUUAAUUCACAAAAAAGAGUCUUGAUGUUAAGUUUUAAAGAGGAAAUAUCUCAGUUUCUCACUCAUUCUAUUUAUGCUCACAAGCUAUUGAAGCUCUUGACAUAAGUACACGCUUUAUAUAUUAACAAAGCUACUUAAUAUUGGCCCUUGGUAUACAAAUUGAAGUGAUUCUUUUACGAGUUUUGACUCAGAAGUUACGAAGAGGAGCCACAGUCAGUUUCUGUUUAUUGACAUAAGCUAAUGAAAGUUCUUAAAAUAGUAGAUAACUAGAUACAUAUAUAUAAGGAGACUACAUUAUGAUUACUAAACACUAGUGACCCCUCUAAAAAUCUGUCGUUGAUUUACAACUUGGAUGGCUUGCUUGUUUACAAAACAAAUGGACUUUAGAAUUCAAUCUUUUGUUCAGGCCUUGUCUCAUGGCUGCCAGAGUGCCAGACACUAGCAGCUUGUGUUAAUAUUGCAGCAGCAUCAGCCUUCAUGGCUGUGAGCUUGUUAAGUUCCCUCAGAUUAACUUCUUCAAUACUUGUCUAGUGUUUCCCCGUUGUUUUUAUUAUUCAAUUUUUCAUUUACUAUAUUGCUUUUGAUCUGGGUGUUCAAUGAAAUGUGCUUCCUCUGUCUAAUAAAUGGUAGGAUUUUCCAAUGAAGUGUGCUUCCUCUAUCUAAUAAGUGAUAGAGGCUCUUUCUUUCGCUUCUCUUUCUUUCCCUUCAACUCUUUAAAAAUGUGUAUUCAGAAUCUUAUACUCUCGAAAGUCCUUAUAAUGGUAACCGAGAAGAAAGUAAAAUUCAAGUACAGUAUAAGGAGUCAAGAAUAAUGUUAACAUAAGAUAAUAUAAUGCCAACACAAUGUCUCAAGUUAAGAAACUUAAUACAAUUCUUGCUCAAACUCACAAGACUUGGCUGAAGAUAACUUGCUCUUCUUUUAUCCUCACCUAUAUUCUGGCAUUUUCUAACGUCUGUCUACUUCUUUAAUAUGCCUUUUUGCUUCUUUAAUCAAAUCUUUGAUUGGGAGGAAGGGAUUUUUGUUAAUCAAAUCUUUGUAAACUAGAACUUAUACUUUUCUCUAAAGCUUAGUCGAAUUCCAAAGGUUUCCCUUCAUCUUUCAUUUUCUGCUUUUAUGGUUAUUUAUAGCUAACCUUUAGAAAACUGAUCAGGAGUUGAAGAUAAAUCAGAUACCAAGCAUCUUGGAGUUACUUUGUAUUUUUCAAAUAAAUCUGUUGUACUUAUGUUGUUUGCUAGAUGUUGAAGCGUUUGGCCUGUAUGUCUAUUUUGGUGUUGCUAUAGUUCUAGUCUACUGUAGGAUCUCUGGAAAAGGUUGGAGUCAAAGUUAGAGCUUAUUUUCUAUCCCUUCCCCCCCCCCCCUCUUUUUUGUUUCAUGUACUCUUAAUCUGCAUUAUAUAUAUUUGUGGUUUGUCCUUGGGUGAUGCAUUACGUGGACUUCAAAAUCCCACAGGGUAAAAUGGAUAUUUUAUAGUAUAUUGAAUCUCCAAAUGGAGUCAUUGGAUUAGGUGACCAACAUAUAUAAGAAGCAGCAACUAGCAUAGUGAUACGUAUGGUUUUAAAUGCUAUGAUGUUGAACAAGAUAAUGGGUGGGAGAUUGAUACAAAAAUUUUGAUCUCAUGUAAAAAAUUACUAGAUUUUAUAUUAGUAUUUGUUCGUUAUUAAUUUUUGACAUUCUUAUUCUCAAACUAGCAGCCAAAUGGCCUUUAAUUUCAUCCAAGAGUCGGGGCUAGUUGGCUGCGUGGCUCAUGUAAAUCUUGUGGGCCAAUCCAUUAAAUAUCAUCUUUUAAUCUUGAGAUUAUCAUAUAGCUUGUAUUGCAUUAUUGGUGAUUGUCCAACUGCCUUAUCUCACUACUUUAUCUCAUUUUAGUCUAAUGUUCUAAGAACAUAAAUUCAACUAUUCAUGCCCUUAUCUGUCUGAUAGUGUUUAGUGUUCAGUGUGUUUCAUGUGGUAUCAUUCUUGCGCUAGAAGGAACAAAUAGGAGCAUAUGUGAUACUCGUGAAGUUGUAGAAUGUGUUCUUGAAUUUAUUCAAUCUGAUGAACAUCUCAAGGGCCUAAUGUUUCUCCUACAAAGAAGGCUGGCUACAUUAGCCUUAAGAGUGGAAUAAAUUGAUCAGCAACCCAAACACAGUACAUUCUCUAACACGACCUGUUCUUUCUUCCUUUUAAAAUUAUCUGCAGAGCUGAAAUGGAAAUUGUUGGCUAAUUUAGUCGAUUUGAGUCAUUGCUGCUACUGCUCGUCAACGCUGUUGCUGUUGUACACUACUGCUAGACACUUUGCUGUUGUGUUUCUUUUGUUACAUAGGCUGCUAGCCUUGUCUGUCUAUUGCAUACCAUUUAGCAGGUACCAAGAAGAUUCAGCAGGAGCUUGCAAAACCCAAUUGCCAGAAAAUCCAAGGGGUUAUAUUGUGAGUGAUUAAAAUUUACUUGCAUGUCUAGAGAACAUUUAGUUUUGUUAGAAGAUGAACAUUUAACGCUUUUGUUGUGUUUCUUUAGAAGCCUUGUAUUAUAUAUAUAUAUAUAUAUAUUUUUUUUUUUUGAGGGAAUUAUAUUUUUUAAUUUGUAAUUAAUGUAUACUUCAUAAAUAACAUAAAUUUUGUUACAAUAGUAUAUAAAAUAGUUUGUGUAUCAAUUUGGAAAAAUUGCAAUUUUUUUUAUUUAAAAAAAUGACGAUUUGCAACUGG